rnacentral:lncRNA from 1 species
AGGGAGAGGAAAAAAGAUAAACCUUACUUCUUUCUCUCGCUAUCUAGGUGAGCUAAUGUUAUGAACUCAGAUCACCACUGUUAGUAAGAUACAAUAAUAGUGUGUAUAAUUUAUGUGGCAUUUUAGGUGUGUUGCCCAGAAUCCUGUUUAAUCAGUUACCUUUCUGCUCAGAACUGAUAUAGUGGAAAUUAUCUGAAGUAAGUGCCAAACAUCAUGCAAACCAGGCUAUCUCACUGAAACCGUCUGCUUCUGCCCUUAGCACGUUCACCAUGAGUCUUUUCUGUCUCCUUCAUGAAGAUUAACUCUACUUUGGCAGUUGUGCCAUCUCCAACCACACAUUUGCUGAAAUAAAUCAGCACCCUAUAUCCAGAAAGAGGCAGAACAGCUAUCCAGGACACAUUUACAGGUACCAAAAAAAAAAUUGGUUCCUGGAGAAACCUAACAGAGUUCAUACUUGCUACAUGGAAGAUGCUGAGACCUUAAUUCAUCUAUAAAUUUGGACAUAAAAUUAAAUGACAACAGCAGAGUUGGAAGAUAGCUGCUCUUCACUUACAAGGUAACCAGCUCUGCUGAGGUCAUCACAGGUAUUCAAGCAAGACAGAGAUUCUGUUAACAGAGAAGGGAGUGAUUUUUUCUGUGCUUACUUGUACUCUGUUACUAUUUAAGCUGAA